AGCAAGGUAUCAGAUAAUGAGAGGUGGUGGUUUCCAUAACAGUUUGCGUGGUAAGGGUCCAAGUAGUUUAACACGACCAGUAGACAAGACCAACCAACAAUCCUCCAACAACAAUGAGAAUGAUAGAAACAACAAAAAUAGGUUUCCGCCUUCAUCAAUCUCUCCAAAGAAAG